rnacentral:lncRNA from 1 species
AUGAAUUUCUUUUGAUGUUUUUUAUUGCUUUAGAUCUGCAUUUUAGUGCUUCUAAAUACUUCUCUUCUUCUUUGCAAUAUUUUGAUAUUAAUAUGUUAAAUUGAUGAUUGCACAGAAAGCUGUUCCUCCGUCGUCGAGCUCCAGCCGUCCCCGCCAACCGGAGAGGCCAUCACCAGACCUUGACCACCACCGCCGACGUGAGAGGCCAUCACCAGACCUUGACCACCACCGCCGACCUGAGAGGCCAUCGCCAGACCUUGACCACCGCCGUCGACCUGAGAGGCGAUCACCAGACCUUGACCACCACCGCCGACCUGAGAGGUCAUCACCGGACCUUGAGUACCACCGCCGACCUGAGAGGCUGUCCCCAGAUCGUCGAUCGCGUGACCCUGAACUUCCUCGCCCUUCUUCCAAGAGAAAGUAUGAAGAUUAUGAUGAUCAUCACCAUGAGGACCGUCAUCAGCGCGAGCAUGCCCAUCGCAGUAGCAGUAGCCAUCAC